AAUGUAGUGAGGGAGCCUCUUCAGAAUUCCUAUAGAUCAGGUAUGUCCCCCAGGGCUCCAUAUUAGUCUGGGCCUCUUCUACAAGCAUGUCAUAAGCAUGGAGAGACAGUGCCAUGAACUGGAUGUCAAGAUUGCUGAGCAGCUGUCGCAUGCAGCAACAAUACCUGAAGUGAACCUGCAAGGACUUGCAUGCCUCAUCCAGCACCAAUCUCUACACAGAAAAAUCACUGAAGCAGAAUCCGAGGAGAAAGAUUUGCUGGAACAGCUCUCCUGCUUCGUCACUCUUUAUCCUGAUGAGAGUCAGCCAGUGAAGAUGUUGCAAGAAGCUGCAGCAGAUAAG